rnacentral:rRNA from 1 species
UACGGAGGAUGCGAGCGUUAUCCGGAUUUAUUGGGUUUAAAGCGAGCGCAGGCGGUUGGAUAAGUCUGAAGUUAAAGGCUGUGGCUCAACCAUAGUAUGCUUUGGAAACUGUUCAACUUGAGUGCAGAAGGGGAGAGUGGAAUUCCAUGUGUAGCGGUGGAAUGCGUAGAUAUAUGGAGGAACACCGGUGGCGAAAGCGGCUCUCUGGUCUGUAACUGACGCUGAGGCUCGAAAGCGUGGGUAGCGAACAGG